rnacentral:rRNA from 1 species
GGCCUUAUAUAUUUUUAAGGUCUGACCUGCCCACUGACAAUUUGAAGGGCCGUGGUAUAUUGACCAUGCGAAGGUAGCAUAAUCACUUGCCUCUUAAUUAGGGGCUAGAAUGAAGGGUUGGACGAGGGACCUUCUGUCUCUAGUGUUUAUUUGAAAUUAAUUACUGGGUGAAAAAGCUUAGAUUUUCUUGUAGGGCGAUAAGACCCUAUGGAUCUUUAUAAAUUUACUCGUAGAAUUUGGUUGUUAAAAUCUUAGAGGAAUUUUAUUGUGUUGGGGCGACACUGAGAGUAGUUAUAUCUCUCAGUUUAAUAAUUCAUAUAUUUAUGUGUUAAGAUCCUUAAAUGAAAUUAGAUUAAGUUACCCUAGGGAUAACAGCGUUAUAUCUUUUGAGAGUUCAUAUCGACAAAGAUGAUUACGACCUCGAUGUUGGUUCAGGGAACCUAUAGGGUGCAGUAACUUUAAAAGGAGGUCUGUUCGACCUUUAAAUCCCU